CCUGUCGUCUCUCUCUCACCUGAUCUGUAGAAAAAAUUCUCCCGCGAUGGAACUCUUCUGCCAUUGAAACCAGAACAACACCGCUCUGGAAUUUUAGGUCAUCUUUCAGAAGGGGUGAAAGAUUUAAUCUGAGAUUUCACAUUGAGUUACUGCAGCUGCUAUACUAAUCAGAUGAAUGUGGAGUCAGCUGGGUUCCUUGGCCGCUAAAGAGAUAAGAGUAUUAGAUGGAUUAUCCUGAAUUAGGGGCUGCUUCCAAGUGUCUUUAAUGGUUUGAAUACACGGCAGUUCUUCCAAGUGUCUCGGAACUCCUCUUUCUAAUUCAGCUGCUUUUUCUACAUAGAAGGCGGGACAACUCCAAGGAGAGUAGAUUUUCCUUAUCAAGCCCUUAUCUAGUAAAUCUUUAAUUUCAGAUUUACAUAUUUCUAACAAUCUAUUAUUCAUUUGAAUUUGUCUGGCUUUUGUUGGAAUCAUUUUUUCAGAAAAAUCUGGUUCAUAAGGUAAUUCUACUAUAUGUUGUUUUCUUUCCCAGAAUGCAUUUGGGAUUUCAACACAAACUUCUUUUACUAAAAGAUCAUUAAGAUCAUUGAUUUGUUUUU